UCAUCCUAGUCAGUGAAGGUGAAAGGUAGAACGCUUCUGCAGGAUCAACAUUUUUAAAUCCUUAUUUUUUCGGCAAUUGGAGUCUCGAUCCCGCCUUUUAGCAGACAACAGCUCGACUAUUUUCAUUACCUGAAGUUGUGCAUUGCGCUCCUCUAGGGUUUCUCUGUUUCUUCUCUCCUCCACAAUCUAUACACUCUGAGCUUCCCUCACACAUUCUGUGCCGACUUUGAUCUCUCGUUGAAACCGAGAAUUUGGACUUGGUAACUGCCUUCAUGGACCGACUCUCUGUUCGUGGCAUCUCUCCCUCCGAUCAUCUCAUCUCAAUCUCCCUCCUCCGAAAACAGGAUGCAAUUGUUCUCUCUCCGCGCAGGCAACGGGAGGCGAUGCACGAAAGAAUAGCUCAAUAAAUCUCUUGUUCGAGCAGGAUCUUCGAGUCCAUGAUCAACCGGGCCUUAUAGCCGCCUUCUAAUAUCAGUCCGUUGUUCUCUGGUUCGUAUUCUUCCUCUGGUUUGUUUUAUAUUCCUCUUUUUUUCCCCCUGUGUUUUGAGGUUUUUUUUUUAUUUUUAUGUUUUUCUUUGUCGUCAACUCUAUUCUCUCGCUAAAACCUAGAAUUUGAAUUCCGUUACCUCUCUCGCUGUCACGCGCUCUCUCUUUCCCAAUCUCAUAAUAGAAGCAGGAUCUCCGACGAUUAUCCGGACCUUGUUGCCCCUCCGAGAGAAUCUCGCCGUGGUUGCUGGAUCACCGAAUUCUUUCCGGAAGGAUCCGACCAUCGGGCCCUGUAGCUGCCUUGUGGUCGCCUGGAAGCAGGCCGUGGUUCCUCUCUGCGUCUUCCAUAGCCUGAUCCUUUCUGGAAGGAUCCGACCAUCGGGCCCUGUAGCUGCCUUGUGGUCGCCUGGAAGCAGGCCGCGGUUCCUCUCCGUGUCUUCCAUCGCCUGAUCCAUUCUGGGUUUUGGCGGGGAUCUGCAUAACACUGCCCUGAGAUCAAUGGUGCAUGACAUAUUACACAUUGCUAAAACUUGGGAGGGAGCUUGGUUUGCUACAGUGAACUAGAAGGAUAGUGUGUUUUGAAAUGAUCAAGUAUAGGAAAGACAGAAAUGCUGGUUCUCUCUCUCUCUCUCUCUCUCUCUCUCUCUCUCUCCCCGGAUGGUGACCAGUCUCUGUUACGGCAGCAGUUGAUAUGGAGGUGCUGCAUAAAUCGUGGAGCCAAUUCUAUAGGAUAUGGAGAUAGAAUGGCCAUUUAAUUCAGAUUCGGCUGUAAACUGCAUCCAUUUGUUUGGUUGUUAGUUUCUUUAAGGACUGUUUCUACCGGUUUCUUCUGCCACCACACCCCUUAUUCAAGUCAACAUAUCACACAUUGGUUAUUAUGGAUUUCUGUAAGGUCCUUAGAAAAAAUAUAGAAAAAGAAGAGGAUGCAUCUGUUCCGGAACUCGUUAGAGGACAAGGAGGUUCUUCUUGUUCGAGCACUAGAUGAAAUGGAGGUAACUAAUAGUAAAAAUAAUUGCUGAUAUUUUUUGCCUGUAGCUUGUCCUGUGUGCACAAUCUAUUUAGUAAUACGAAAAAUGUUUUUUGUCCUUUCAUGUUGGAGUUAUGCAUAAGUGCUGUUUUAUAUCAAUAGUUAGAGCCAUUGCCAUUUUGCCUGCUUGUGUUUUGUAUCCCUGUGCUCAUUAGUAUUGGAAAUAAAGUACAGUACUAUUAUUCCGUGCCCUAAGGACGCUGGAUUAUGCACAAGAAGUAUUUGGUCUCUCACUUCCUCUUAAUCUUAUCAUUUUGGAAAUUAGGAAUUCAAGGACACAUGGAUUUUUUCUCUGUUUCUUGUCAGUGACUGAUCAUUCAUAUAUAUAUUUUGCCUGAAUGAGUUCUGGUUGGUUUGUUUAAUUAUUGGUAGGGUAUGAAACUCGUGGACUUUUUUAUAUUGUUUCUUGUUGGUGACUGAUAGUUCAUAUAUAUUGCCUAAAUGAAUUCUGGUUUGUUGGUUUAGUUACUGGUUGGGUAUGAAACACUUGGACUUUUUUUCCAAUGUUUCUUGUUGUUGAGUGGUUGUGCGUAUAUUUUUUGCCUGAAUGAGUUCUGGUUCUUUGGUUUAAUAACAUUGAUCAGAUGAAUUUCUGAUAUUUAUGGUUUUUUUUUGUUUGUUAAUAUUUGCGAUAUUUAUGAUAAACUUCCUUCAAACGGUUGGUUUA